rnacentral:lncRNA from 1 species
GAAUAUUUUCUACGCCGGCCCUGACGGACGACUAAAAGAAAUGGAUGUUCUGACAAACAGCAUAGAUGCCCGAAUAUGGAUAAUGAAGUAUUUAAUGAGUCAGUCGAUUAUAGUAUUUCGUGAUAGAAAGACAUGUGUACCUAGAUAUUAGAAUAAAUGUAUUAAAUUCUGAAUUUGCCUUUAAAUAUUUAACAAAGCAGCGGUAGGAUAUUAUCCAUGUGCUAUAGCAAGUGUUAAGUUAUAUUUAUACUUAUUUAAUAGUGAUAUUUGUUUAAAAACACAAUAAUAGUAUAAUCGUAUGUGAAUGUUUCGAAAGUGACAAAAAUAGCAAUGGAAUUUUCCUGCAAGAGGUGAACUUGUGAAGUGUUGUUACGUUAAAGUGUUCUACGUGGAAUUUUAUCCGGAAUUUGCACUAAAUGCGACGUGUAAAUAAUAUUUAAAGUACGGUGAAUCACCUGGGUGUUUUUAUGAGUUGUUUUUGGAUCAAUUUGUGCUGUUUCUUUGCCAAUGAUGUACAUUGUACCACAUAUUUUUUAUGACAGGAUGUCUGUUGGAACUUCGAACUUGUGUCUGAUGGGGUUAAGAGGAUUGAACUGUAAAUCAGUGGCAUCGGAUCCACGCGGACGUGGAUAAGGGAAGCGUGGCCGACUGUAAAGAAUAUUUUCUACGCCGGCCCUGACGGACGACUAAAAGAAAUGGAUGUUCUGACAAACAGCAUAGAUGCCCGAAUAUGGAUAAUGAAGUAUUUAAUGAGUCAGUCGAUUAUAGUAUUUCGUGAUAGAAAGACAUGUGUACCUAGAUAUUAGAAUAAAUGUAUUAAAUUCUGAA